rnacentral:rRNA from 1 species
GCAAGUCGAACGGUAACAUGAGAGCUUGCUCUUGAUGACGAGUGGCGCACGGGUGCGUAACGCGUAUGCAACCUACCCUUUACUGGGGGAUAGCCCGGAGAAAUUCGGAUUAAUACCCCAUAGUACUAUGUUAUAGCAUUAUAUAAUAGUUAAAGAUUUAUUGGUAAAGGAUGGGCAUGCGUGACAUUAGUUAGUUGGUAAGGUAACGGCUUACCAAGACGAUGAUGUCUAGGGGUUCUGAGAGGAUUGUC